rnacentral:tRNA from 1 species
GCCCUCGUAGCCCAACGGCAGAGGCAGGCGGCUUAAACCCGCUGUGUUACGGGUUCGAUUCCCGUCGAGGGCA